rnacentral:tRNA from 1 species
GGCUGCGUAGUUCAACUGGAUAGAAUAUCAGAUUUCGGCUCUGAGGGUUGGGGGGUUCGAAUCCCUUCGCGGUCAC